GGGUUGUGAGGUUAAGCGACUAAGCGUACACGGUGGAUGCCCUGGCAGUCAGAGGCGAUGAAGGGCGUGCUAAUCUGCGAUAAGCGCCGGUAAGGUGAUAUGAACCGUUAUAACCGGCGAUACCCGAAUGGGGAAACCCAGUGUGAUUCGUCACACUAUCAUUAACUGAAUCCAUAGGUUAAUGAGGCGAACCGGGGGAACUGAAACAUCUAAGUACCCCGAGGAAAAGAAAUCAACCGAGAUUCCCCCAGUAGCGGCGAGCGAACGGGGAGGAGCCCAGAGCCUGAAUCAGCAUGUGUGUUAGUGGAAGCGUCUGGAAAGGCGCGCGAUACAGGGUGACAGCCCCGUACACAAAAGCGCAUAUGCUGUGAGCUCGAUGAGUAGGGCGGGACACGUGGUAUCCUGUCUGAAUAUGGGGGGACCAUCCUCCAAGGCUAAAUACUCCUGACUGACCGAUAGUGAACCAGUACCGUGAGGGAAAGGCGAAAAGAACCCCGGCGAGGGGAGUGAAAAAGAACCUGAAACCGUGUACGUACAAGCAGUGGGAGCCCCACCACUAAGCCAGUGGUGAACUCCACAUACGCAUCCUUUGCUGAGGAGACGGUUAACGGAGCGAAAGCGACGUUCAACCUCAAAAGAAGCAGAGGGGGCUUAGUGGUGGGGUGACUGCGUACCUUUUGUAUAAUGGGUCAGCGACUUAUAUUCUGUAGCAAGGUUAACUGUAUAGGGGAGCCGGAGGGAAACCGAGUCUUAACCGGGCGUUAAGUUGCAGGGUAUAGACCCGAAACCCGGUGAUCUAGCCAUGGGCAGGUUGAAGGUUGGGUAACACUAACUGGAGGACCGAACCGACUAAUGUUGAAAAAUUAGCGGAUGACCUGUGGCUGGGGGUGAAAGGCCAAUCAAACCGGGAGAUAGCUGGUUCUCCCCGAAAGCUAUUUAGGUAGCGCCUCGUGAAUUCAUCUCCGGGGGUAGAGCACUGUUUCGGCUAGGGGGCCAUCCCGGCUUACCAACCCGAUGCAAACUGCGAAUACCGGAGAAUGUUAUCACGGGAGACACACGGCGGGUGCUAAUGUCCGUCGUGAAGAGGGAAACAACCCAGACCGCCAGCUAAGGUCCCAAAGUCAUGGUUAAGUGGGAAACGAUGUGGGAAGGCCCAGACAGCCAGGAUGUUGGCUUAGAAGCAGCCAUCAUUUAAAG
rnacentral:rRNA from 2 species